rnacentral:lncRNA from 1 species
UGGGCUGGAUCUUUCUUUUAAUUUCAUUUACAAAUAUUUGGGAGAGGGGAGGUCUUGAACUCCUCGGCCUCAAGCGAUCCUCCUGCCUCAGCAUCUAGAGUAACUAAGGAUUAAGGGCAUGAGCCACCACCAGGGCUAUGCACGGGAUCUUGGAGGAGCAGAAAAUCCCAGGGGCAAUUGGCUUGGCCGGGAGAGUAGACUGUUUUGGGUCAGGCCAACCCAAGCAUCUGGAGGUGUACGUGCUGGAAGGACAGUCAGAUGGUGUGUGUAGGAGAGAGGGGGAAGGCGCAGGGGAAGGCCUGGGGAAGCAGGCACCUGAACAACUGUCCCACAAAGCAGAAACAUCAUGGGCUUCAGAGGCAGGCGGUGCAGGACAGUUCUCCCAGUGGCCUUGAACUGACCUGGUUCUCCCCUCCUUUCUUGCUUGUAGUUCUCAAGAAUAACUGUAGACGCCUGUAAUCCCAGCACUUUGGGAGGCCGAGGCGGGCAGAUCACUUGAGAUCAGAAGUUCAAGACCAGCCUAGCCAACAUGCUGAAACCCCGUCUUUACCAAAAAUACAAAAAUUAUCCAAGCGUGGUGGUGGGCACCUGUAAUCCCAGCUACACGGGAGGCUGAGCAGGGAGAAUCCCUCGAACCUGGGAGGCGGAGGUUGCAGUGAGCUGAGACAGUGCCACUGCACUCCAGCCUGGGUGAUGGAGCAAGACUGUCUCAAUAAAUAAAUAAAUAAAACUGUAGAGUGUGCAGAGAAUGCAACAUCCUGAGGGAAGGAAGGACUGGCCAGCACAGCCAUGCUCUGUUCCAGUCCCCCUAGAAAAAGCAUGUCCUUCAACACUUCAGCCCAACAUGUCACAUGGCCCCAGGGUAUAAAGCCCAGGGCAGAAGCCGGGCGCGGUGGCUUACUCCUGUAAUCCCAGCACUUUGGGAGGCCGAUGCGGGCGGAUCAUAAGGUCAGGAGAUUGAGACCAUCCUGGCUAACACGGUGAAACCCCGUUUUUACUAAAAAUACAAAAAACUAGCCAGGUGUGGUGGUGCGUGCCAGUAGUCCCAGCUACCCGGGAGGCUGAGGCAGGAGAAUUGCUUGAACCUGGGAGGCGGAAGUUGCAGUGAGCCCAGAUGGCGACACUGCACUCCAGCCUGGGAGACAGAGUGAGACUCUGUAUCAAACAAACAAACAAACAAACGAAAAACAGGGCGGGCUGGUUUCUGGGGUCCCUCAGCUUCAGUACAAGUCUGGCUGGCUGGGCGUGGUGGCCCAUGCCUGUUAUCACAACACUUUGGGAGGCCGAGGCGGGUGGAUCACCUGAGGUCAGAAGUUCAAGACCAGCCUGGCCAACAUGGCGAAACUGUUUCUACUAAAAAAAAAAAAAAUAGCUGGACGUGGUAGUGCACGCCUGUAAUCCCAGCUACCAGGGAGGCUGAGGCAGGAAAAUUGCUUGAAUCCCAGGGUUCACACCACUGCACUCCAGCCCGGGUGAAAGAGCGAGACUCCAUCUCACAACAAACCAACAACAAAAAAAAAAGUCAGGCAUGCACAGACAACGGUCCAUCCCCCAGCUGCCUCAGCAGCUUUCCUGAGCCGUAGGGGUCCAGCUCCAAAUGAAUCCCAGCCUUCUGUUGUCCCUUAGUGCCUACCUAUAGGUAAUAAACACGUUGCAUGUCACUUGUGUUUGCCUCGCUGGACUCAGCGUUAUGUAACUUGUGGGUGUUUGCCUCACUGGACUCUGACAAGUUGGUAACUAGUGUGCAGUGAACCUGCCUAACAGACAGCUGGGUUCUGAUCCAGCUGUGUGACCUUGAGCAAGAUACGGAACCUCCCUGAGUUUCUGUUGGGUCAUUGGUGAAGUGGGACCAAUGGCUACUUGAAAGGAUUGUUGGGAAGAUUUGGAGAGAAAAUAAUGUGAAAGUACCUAGCACAGAGCCUGGUACUGAAAAUACCUUAAACCUAUGUUCAUUUCUUAAAAAGUCAAGAGGAGGCUGCUGCUGCCUUGGGCAGGCACGCUGGGAGGUAAGGGGGCAGGCACGCUGCGAGGUAAGGGGGCAGGCGCGCUGCGAGGUAAGGGGGCAGGCGCGCUGGGAGGUAAGGGGGCAGGCGCGCUGCGAGGUAAGGGGGCAGGCGCGCUGGGAGGUAAGGGGGCAGGCGCGCUGCGAGGUAAGGGGGCAGGCGCGCUGCGAGGUAAGGGGGCAGGCGCGCUGGGAGGUAAGGGGGCAGGAGCGCUGCGAGGUAAGGGGGCAGGCGCGCUGCGAGGUAAGGGGGCAGGCGCGCUGGGAGGUAAGGGGGCAGGCAGGAGGCAAGUUUCCAUUCCUGUGAACUGGGAAUCUAUGUGCCUUUUGGAACCCAGCUGUUUUUAUUUCUUGGGUCAAGGUACAACCUGCUUUAUCUGGCCCUGCCUACGAGGGAUGCCCCAGGUUCACCAAUCAAAACAAAUAAAAACUAAAAAUGAGGUUGGUUGGGGAGGAAGGGGGCUGGGAGAUGGGAGAUAAUAGUUAAAGAGUAUGGGGUUUCUUUCUUAGGUGAUGACAAUAU